rnacentral:rRNA from 1 species
UUGCUCCUACGGGGGGCAGCAGUGAGGAAUAUUGGUCAAUGGGCUUACGCCUGAACCAGCCAAGUCGCGUGAGGGAAGACUGCCCUAUGGGUUGUAAACCUCUUUUGUCAGGGAGCAAUUGGCGCUACGUGUAGCGUUAUCGAGAGUACCUGAAGAAAAAGCAUCGGCUAACUCCGUGCCAGCAGCCGCGGUAAUACGGAGGACGCGAGCGUUAUCCGGAUUUAUUGGGUUUAAAGGGUGCGUAGGCGGGUUAUCAAGUCAGCGGUAAAAUCGUGGAGCUCAACUCCAUCCAGCCGUUGAAACUG